rnacentral:rRNA from 1 species
UGGUAUUUUAGCAUAAUGGAACCACUUUGAUCCAUCUCGAACUCAAUUGUGAAACGUUAUAGCGCUGAAAAUACUUGGAAGGGAGCUUUCUGGGAAGAUAAGUCAAUGCCAAGUA